UGCUGCAUGGCUGUCGUCAGCCCGUGUCGUGAGAUGUUGGGUUAAGUCCCGCAACGAGCGCAACCCUUGCCAUUAGUUGCUACAUUUAGUUGAGCACUCUAAUGGGACUGCCGGUGACAAACCGGAGGAAGGUGGGGAUGACGUCAAGUCCUCAUGGCCCUUACGGCCUGGGCUACACACGUGCUACAAUGGUCGGUACAAAGGGUUGCCAAGCCGCGAGGUGGAGCUAAUCCCAUAAAACCGAUCGUAGUCCGGAUCGCAGUCUGCAACUCGACUGCGUGAAGUCGGAAUCGCUAGUAAUCGUGAAUCAGAAUGUCACGGUGAAUACGUUCCCGGGUCUUGUACACACG
rnacentral:rRNA from 1 species